rnacentral:rRNA from 1 species
AUUGAACGCUGGCGGCAGGCUUAACACAUGCAAGUCGAGCGGAGGGGCAACCCUCAGCGGCGAACGGGUGAGUAACACGUAGGUAAUGUACCCUCUGGUGGGGAAUAACCGUGGGAAACCAUGGCUAAUACCGCAUAUGUCUUUCGAGAUGAAAGCAGCAAUGCGCCAGAGGAGCAGCCUGCGGCCGAUUAUUUAGUCCUAGUUGGUGAGGUAAUGGCUCACCAAGGGUACGAUCGGUAGCUGGUCUGAGAGGAUGAUCAGCCACACUGGAACUGAGACACGGUCCAGACUCCUACGGGAGGCAGCAGUGGGGAAUAUUGCGCAAUGGGCGAAAGCCUGACGCAGCCACGCCGCGUGAGUGAUGAAGGCC